rnacentral:ribozyme from 13 species
GCACUAUAAUAGGACUGGGAAAUAGAAGAAUAGCCGUCAUCUUCUUCCUCUUUUUCUUUUUCUUUUUCUUUUUCUCUUUUCUUCCCUUCAUUUCUCU